GGAGUUGAUUAAUUUUGUGUAUAUUGUUAAUGUUUUAUAUUGUGUUUACUUCAUUGAAUUGAAUGAGGUAUAAUAUUUAUAAGGAUGCCCUCAAACUGACGACCAAGAAGGCCUUUCUAUAUUACAUAAAAUCUAUUCGUCUAUAGAACUGCAACAAAAAUCAGCUGAUUUCGAAGCGCUUUUAAAAGGAACUAAGAGGAUAUCCUACAUCAAACAUUAGAAUAUUGAUUUAGUUUGGAAGAUGUGGUGUAUUAUUCUUAAUGUUCUUCUGAAUGCCCCAAUUGUGUUCAGUGUUUUAACUGAUUACUCUUUAUGUUUUAAGUAUUAAAAGAUUGAUAAUAAUGUAGUGGUAUAUAUAGACACAAAGAGUACCUCUAAAAUGAUAAAAAAGUUUUAUUCGAAUGUUCAUUUGUAGGCUAAAUGAAUAAUAAUGAACAGUUAAAUUGUUUCUGCAUUUUGUAUGUUCAAAAUGUCUAUCACAAGAGUAUAAACAAAUCAAAAAUACACUUUGCUGUGACAACACAACAAAAUACAUACUGAGUCCUGACUAUACACGUGGUCUGUUCUGUUUUUAACUAUUGUUAGAAAUCUUUACCCAUUGUCGUUUAAAAACAUUUACAUCUGAACGAGAUCCUAAAAUCAUUGUGGAAUUAUUAAUUAGUUAUGGUUUAUAACAAUCGCCAACUAAGCUCAGUAGUAUAUAAAACCUAAAGAACUAUCAACGGAGAGACUAUUAGAGGAGCACUUAGUGGUUAUAUGGACAUUUUCUCUUUUUUGACUUAACCUUUUUACCUAAAAAAUACAACAAACAAAUAUAAAUUAUUUAUUUCUCUUUGCUUUCAUGUUUUUGUUAAAGAAAAACAUAAAUUAUUAACCUUAGAAUUUUGUAUUAAACUUUCUCAAGUAUGUUAAGAGCAGGUUCACAUUUUCUUUUGUUAUUAAAUUUUAGAUUUUAAGUUCUAAAGAUAUUGUUUCUUUAUUUUUGAUGUUAGUUUGAUAACAACAGUCGUUCUAGCAAAUUCCAAGAAUUCGAAAAAUUUGUUUGUUGUUGACAGAAACAGCAGGCAACAUAAGGGACUUUAUUUGCAGUCAACUGCGUUAUUUGAACGCAAAAUGUUGACAAAGGCAACUAGUUAGUUUUUUAAGUGUCAUAAUUUUCAAACUCGGUGAUGAUCGUUGAACAACUACCAAAAACAAAAUUGUCUACACUCCACUCCUCCGGGGCAAGCUGCAACUCCAUCUCGACCUGUAUUUAUGAUUUAAGUAAAAUAUUACUUAUUCCUUUCUUAAUUUGACAAAGAACCCUUUUAAAAAAAAAGUUUUAAAUAGAAUUGUGCUGAAAAUAAAUAAAUCACAUAGUAAUAAAGUUCAGCCUUCAGUUGAAUAAAAAAUGUGAUUAGCUGUUAUUUUGACAUAAGUGAAAUUGACCUGAUGGUUAUGGAGGUUUUUCUUCACUAACUAUCAAGUCAACUUUCCAAUAAAGUUACGUCAAUGUAACUUUAUGUGACAAAAAAUGUAUUUCAUAUUUGGCACUUGUAACUGUUUUAGGUCCAAAGAUAAGGGUUUAAGAAGUUUUAUAUUAUGUAAACUUCGAGUUACCAAACACAAAACAAACAUAUCUAUAUUUGUAAAUCCUUAAAAAAACGUAAAACAGCUUGUUUUCAAAAAAUGGUAUCUUAAUUAUUACACCUUAAAUUGUAUUUAUUAAAACAUUUUAUAAACAAUGCGAGUAUUUUAAAGUCAACAUAAAUUUGGAGGUAAUUAUGAUUCUAAAGGCUUAAGAUUAAAAUUAAAUAAAUUGUUUUAAAGCAUUCUUUAAUCUUAUUUUUAAGCUAUCCACUUAAAAAAAUUGAAUUAGUGUCUAGCGUUCAUUUUCUCAACUAAUGAACGAUUUCUUACAUUAGUAUGAUUUUUUAAUUAAAAGACGAAAAACUAGGUUUUCAAUUACCGUCCAAUUAGUAAACUAGUAAAGAUUCUAAGGCUUCUUGGUAUAACAAUCCUUUAAGGUGUUCCUGAAAGUAGUCAAUUAGGUCCAUCGCUUUUUGAUAAGAUUUGACAACGAUAUAAAAAUAUUUAGAUUUACAAGGAAUUAUAAGAAUUGCAUUGCAUUCUAACAGGACACUACUAACUUUGAGAUAUGAUGCAAACUAAAAUUAUAACCUUUUCAAUAUGCGGUUCUGUUUUGUUUUUCAGUUGAAUAUGAAAUCAAAUAGCUUUUAAUUAGCCUCUAAAAAGCUAUAUAAUGAAUCGGCCAGAUUACUUAAAAUCAAAGGCUCAGGUGUUGGGUUGAAUUUUAAGUCAAAUGUUUCAUAUAUUAUCUCUUAAUCAAAUUCUAUGUUCGGUAUUUUGAAAUGAAAUUCUUCAGUUUUAGUGACACUUGCACUCUGAGAUCGUUCGCACCUAUUGGAGUGUUGUUCAAUUAUUUGGAAUCCGGACAAAAUACAUUUUUUAAAAUUGAAUACGUACAUAUAACGUCACUAAAAUGAAUUUGACUGCUGAAAAUAAAAGAACUUCUUGGGAAUAUUCAUGACUCUAAGAACUUUUUGAUAGAGAUUGAAAUACUAUAAUUUAUAAAGAUAAAACUAAAUGAAGGCAAAAUCAAAUCUAAUCAUAUCAUUUAAAAAUUUGAAUGUAUUUACAGUUUCUGACCAUAUUAUUAGACGCACUUUAGAUUUUAUGCAAAAUCUAAAUUUCCAGCUAUUUUAAUCAGGUUUUCAAAUAUUAUAAUGCAUUUAAAUUAUUUUGUAUGCAAUAUACUACUUCCUGGAAAUAAAGCAAUAGAUUUAAAGAUUUUUUUUUAAAUUAAUAUUUUCUGUUUUUUUUUUUCAAUAUUUUGUUGAACCUCCUUUUUCUUUAAUAAGAGCCUUAAUUCUGCGCGUCAAACUGUCAAUGCAUGAUUUGACUGUUUCCUGCAUUUGUGGGUGAUAAUUUUACACGUGAAUUACUCUUUCAAUAAGUGACCGCAUCUUUAGCUACUUCCCUCUUCAUCAGCUCCCACACGUUUUCAAUUGGGUUCAUAUCAGGGCUGUUUCCCGGCCAGUCCAACAGAGAAAUGUUUUCUUCCUUCAAAUAAGUUUGUGUGGCAUGGAGCUCCAUCUUGCAUAAAAAUGUAACCAUACAUCCUUUCUUUAACGUUAAAAAUAUAGCGAAUAAUUGCAGUGCGUCUAAUAAUAUAGCCAGGGACUGUAUGUUCAGACAUGUUUUUUUAUAAGCAAUUACAAAAUGAUAUCUUUGUAUUCAAUGAUUUUAUCCUGGUAUUGAGUAUUUGUACGAGUGCUUCAUUGUGCUGAAACUUGAAUGAAACAUCAUAAAUAAAAUUAUUAACAUACUUUACUUUUUUAAAUAUUCUCAUUUCUUCCCAAGUUUUUCAAUAAACAUGUUUGAUAAAUACUUGACUUUCUAAAGUCCUCAUACCUUAUUUUGAUUAAAAAUUUUUAAUUUUUUAUUAUAUUUAGUCUUUAAACAUUGUUAAAAUAGCUCUGAGUUUUUUUCUAUUUAUUUAUGGGGACUACUAAAUAAACAACAUUCGAAAAAUUCGCAAAUUUUUAAAAUGUACGCAUAGUUCAAGUGCUACCCUUAAGUGUAUAGUUACUGUAAAUAAUGAUUUUUAUAAUUUUAAACUGGUUUUUCUCAAAACUACUUUUUUUUAAAUUGUCGAGACUCGAUUUUUAUAUUGAUAUUCUUAAACAAAAAUGUAUGAUUCAAGGCCACUGUAACAAAACUUAAACUAAACAAUUACUCAUUUAUUGAAAAACGUUCCAAAUUUAAGUCGUUAAAUUUGUAAUCAUUUCUUUCUUAUAAUUGCUUUAAAAUCGGAUUUUAAAGUAAAUUGUGUCAUUAUUAUAAUUCAGUAAGUUUUUUUAUUUGUGGUUGUUUUUACGAUUUGAUGCAGCCAAUUAAGAUUUUUUUAAUUGUUAACAUUAACGUAAUCUGUUUAAACCCGUUUCUUUUUCCAGAAAAUAGUGUUGCUCUUUCAAAAUAUUUGUUUCACAAAUAUCUUUAAUUUUAUGGAAAAGAUAAAAUAAACGUGUUACACCUAUACCAAAACGAAUUUUUUAAAUCGCUACACGUUUCGGGAUUUAUAUUUCCAUAUAAAUAUAUGAAAAGGUUAUAAUUGAAUAAAUAUUAAGACUUUUUAGAUAAAACAAACUUAAUAUGUUCUUGUCUUUGUAAUAGAAAGUUUCAUUUUAUUUAAUAGUAUUUCCGUUUUCAAUGUCCUUAUUAAUUUUGUUUAAUAAGAGUUUCGUGAAAAAAUUAUUUUUGACAAAGUUAUUCGAAAAGCGAAGGAGGCAAGAUAAAAUAUUUCAUACAAGAUAUACUGGCAUGAAAUUUUCGUUAUGCAGUUAAUAUUCUAAUUAUUUUCUUCGAAGAGUGGACCACCACUUGUUUUUUUAGCAUAUUGAAAAGUUUCCGUUUUAAGAACAAAUUUCACUAUUCCUGAAAAAAAUCACGAUGUUUGCUGACUUAGAGGUGUUUCUUGCCUACAUUUACGCCGUUGCAGAGAUGUGUAGUUACAGUAGAACUGAGUUAGCCUUUUCACACCAAACCCAAAACCGGGUUUUCGGCAAAAUGUUUUCGAAAACCCGAAAAUCGUUCACACCGAACAUUUACACGUUUUCAUAUGACUAUUAAAAUUGUUUAACACCGGUUGUCAAAUUUUGUAUUGAUGUAAAAAUGUGUGAGUAAAAAGUUUUGCUCUUCUCAAAUCAUUUGUGAAAAUAAAAUGAAUUCUAACCAAUUCAAGUUGAUUUAAAAGUUACACUAGCUCGUCUCGAAGAAGAGUUUGAACUGAAGUUCUGGGGACGGGUGGAAUGGGCUCACGACAUAAACCAACAAGAACUACAAGCUCGCUUGGCUUCAGCUAUCAUCUUUGUUAACUUCAUCCGGUCCGAACAAUUCACUAAGGAGAAGCUAAUUGUCUAGAAAAUAUAUCAUAGAAUCAACAGCAAACAAAACUGUUACAAUAAAAAUUAAUUUUAUUUAAAACAUUUUCUUCUUCUUUCACAACAAAUUCAAUCCAAAAUACUGUGCUUAUGACUAUUGCUUCUGCUGGCCAAAUGUGAAGAUGAUGAAUGAGAAAAUUUUGAACGAUUUCGCGUAGGUCCUUAUGGCUGGAGCAGAAAAGGUCAAUUCCAAGUUCCAGAUUCGUACCAAAAUCACACUCAUCCAGAGCGAUCACUGAAGCUGGUAUGACUAUCUCUUUGGUUUCUUUCUUUGAGGACUCGCCUGGCUUGUCCAAUGAACUGAGGAUCUUCUUGAUGUUGGCAUCGCUGUCCAUCAAGGGGCGAUAGCCCAAUGUUGUUUUGUAUUUACUGGAACAACGAUUCCCACAUUGUUUGAAUGUUUUGGCGCAAAUUUUCCAAUCCAGUCACGACAGAGCCUCCACCAGAGAUUUUCUUUCAUACUUAUUCUCCUCCACAAAUGACCUUACCGCCUUUCUUAUAUCUCCCGAACCCUUGUAAUUGAACGGAGUUAUCGGAAAGUGUUUUUCCAUGUAGUAAGAAAGCGUCGAACAUAGUGGUGGUGUAAAUUAAUUUAACGCUGAAUGUUUUGAAAGGUUUAUUUGCUUAGUUCAACUUUGAAUUCCUACUAGUUUUCGAGAGGUUUUAUAUAAAACUUGUGGUUGAAGAACACUUCUGGUUUACCAUAAAUGUAUGAGAAAACUUGAGUUUUCUAUGCAGGUUUUUGACGAAAACCUAUAAUUUUGCGAAAACCUAGUUUUGGGCUUGGUGUGAAAAGCCUAUUACAGUCUACUCCACCAUGGUUUGCAUGUACUUUUUCAAAGGCAUAUUUUUAAAAAAUCUAGAAGGUAAAAUAGGCAUUAAACCCAAGGCCUGACAAUUCCAAUAUUGUAACGCUUUAUAAAUACAUGAUUGGGUGUUUUGUGAUAAUGAUAAUUAAUAUCUUAAAAAUGUUCGCCUUGGAAUAAUUUUUUGAAUUUUUUAAUAUGUUAUUCAUCAAGAAAUAUUGAUAUUGCCCAUUGAACAGCCCUAUCAUGAAUUCCAUCGUAAUCGGAAACUUUUACGAAUCCCGAAAUAAAAAUAUUACCAAAUACAAUCGUAGUGGAAAAACUCAUACAAUUUUGGUUUAGGAACGGAUUUUUGGAAUUUGUAAGUUUCCGAUUACGAUGGAAUUCGUUAUAGGGCUAGUUUAAAAUUUUUGUUUGCAAAAAAUGUCUCAUCAGUCACGGAAAUGCGUUCGGUAACAACCGAUAACAUGAUCAAUACUUAUUCUUUGUGGAUUUCAUUGAAUCCUCUUUACCAAACGUGAUAACGAGAUAUUUAUAUCUUAAAAAUGUUCUUCCCUCCGGAGCAGAAAAAUAAAAAAAUAUACAGUAGCAAAUUUAAAUAUCUUUACAAGUAUGUAUGUUUUUCGAAGUCAACAUAACAAAGCAGCACAUGGGCUUCAUUGAAGCCGCUAAAUUAAGUUAAUCGCCGAUGAACUUUUGAUAGAAAUCUACAAUUUAAAAAACCAAAUCUUUGUAAAUAUUAGAAGUACAUCCAGUGAACAUGCGGACAUUUGUUUUUAAAGAUACAAAAAAAAAUAUUAUUCUUUGAUUUUACUUUAAUUUAAGAAAAUUUGAAUUUGUAUUUCAAACUAGAAUCAUUGAUAUUCCACGAUUGUUAUAGAAAUUAAUUUAUGGCAUUGGAUAUUUUAAAUAUUAGUAAUUUAAAUAAUUCAAUUUUUUUCCAAUGAUAGCGAACUUUGAUGAUCGGCAUUAUUUUAAGGGGUCAUUGUAAAAUCGAGGAUUUUUUCAUAUUUAAUUCAUUUUCAAACUAUUUAAGUUUAUUAGAUUUUUUAAAAACUAUAUUUUCAAAAAAAUUUGUUUUAUUUCUAUCAGGAAUGAAGAUAGAUUUCCUUUUCUGUGAUCAAAUGUGGCUAUAGUUUUCAGAUCUCUGGAAACUUCUUAAAUAUUUUGUCUGCCAGAAAACGUUUUUAAAAUUUCAAAAAUACUCCUGAAAUAUCGUUUUGUACAUACAAAAGUCCUUAUUUUUUUCGUACGAAGUGAGUGCUUGAAAAAAAUGGAG